UACGAAGGGGGCUAGCGUUGCUCGGAAUCACUGGGCGUAAAGGGUGCGUAGGCGGGUCUUUUAAGUCAGGGGUGAAAUCCUGGAGCUUAACUCCGAAACUGCAUUCGAUACUGCCGUGCUUGAGGACUGGAGAGGAGACUGGAAUUUACGGUGUAGCGGUGAAAUGCGUAGAUAUCGUAAGGAAGACCAGUGGCGAAGGCGGGUCUCUGGACAGUUCCUGACGCUGAGGCACGAAGGCCAGGGGAGCAAACGGG
rnacentral:rRNA from 1 species